rnacentral:rRNA from 1 species
GAUGAACGCUAGCGGCAGGCCUAACACAUGCAAGUCGAGGGGCAGCACGUCUUCGGAUGGUGGCGACCGGCGCACGGGUGCGUAACGCGUAUGCAACCUACCUCUUACAGUGGGAUAGCCCAGAGAAAUUUGGAUUAAUACCGCAUAGUAUACAGAUUCAGCAUUGGGAUUGUAUUAAACAUUUAUGGGUAAGAGAUGGGCAUGCGUUCUAUUAGUUAGUUGGAGUGGUAACGGCACCCCAAGACAGCGAUAGAUAGGGGCCCUGAGAGGGGGAUCCCCCACACUGGUACUGAGACACGGACCAGACUCCUACGGGAGGCAGCAGUGAGGAAUAUUGGACAAUGGGCGCAAGCCUGAUCCAGCCAUGCCGCGUGCAGGAAGACGGUCCUAUGGAUUGUAAACUGCUUUUUAUACAGGAAGAACAUCUCUACGUGUAGAGACUUGACGGUACUGUAAGAAUAAGGAUCGGCUAACUCCGUG